GACGAACGCUGGCGGCGUGCCUAAUACAUGCAAGUUGAGCGCUGAAGGUUGGUACUUGUACCAACUGGAUGAGCAGCGAACGGGUGAGUAACGCGUGGGGAAUCUGCCUUUGAGCGGGGGACAACAUUUGGAAACGAAUGCUAAUACCGCAUAAAAACUUUAAACACAAGUUUUAAGUUUGAAAGAUGCAAUCGCAUCACUCAAAGAUGAUCCCGCGUUGUAUUAGCUAGUUGGUGAGGUAAAGGCUCACCAAGGCGAUGAUACAUAGCCGACCUGAGAGGGUGAUCGGCCACAUUGGGACUGAGACACGGCCCAAACUCCUACGGGAGGCAGCAGUAGGGAAUCUUCGGCAAUGGACGAAAGUCUGACCGAGCAACGCCGCGUGAGUGAAGAAGGUUUUCGGAUCGUAAAACUCUGUUGGUAGAGAAGAACGUUGGUGAGAGUGGAAAGCUCAUCAAGUGACGGUAACUACCCAGAAAGGGACGGCUAACUACGUG
rnacentral:rRNA from 1 species